ACCAGGAUGGCCGAGUGGUUAAGGUGUUGGACUCAAGCUCCAAUGGGUAAUAGCCUUUGUGGGUUUGAGCCCCACUCCUGGUG